GGAAGAGGAGAUUGGCAAUAGCUCUCCAAUAUCUCUGUGACCAGCUGCAUAGUGGAGGUUGCAAUAAACUGUGAUGCCCUUUACUGAAACUGGUGUUGCCUUCUUGUUUCCACAUUUGCGCAUAAAGAUGAGAAAUUGGGAAAAGAAUUAGCUCAGAAGGCUGACAGAAAAGGUACUGGAACAAUGCACAGAUCCAAUGUAGAGACAGAAGAGAGUGUUUUCCUCACACAUGAAUCUAUCUGGCCCUGAGGCCAGAGACUCCCUCAAAUGAGCAACAUGUCCUAGCUCUGCCCUCUUUCCAGGAUCAGGACUGGAGGAAGCAAUGGGAGAGGAACACCUCAGGGAGCAGCGUGGCCCUCUAGAAAGGGAGGGUUGGACAAUACUGGUAGUCCAAAAGGGCCGAGGACCUCCUGAAGCCAAACUCCAAGGGAUGAGGAGACCAGGCCAGACAGUAGUAGCUCCUGCCUGAGUAGACAGCAUGUCUUCCUUGUGGAAGUGUCCCAAAGAUAUAGCUAUGAAGAGCUUCGUUGUUUUGUUCUUCCAGCAUUCCUCCUCUCCACAUUAUAUCACUGAGGCAUCAAAGUGAUUCAUGACUGCACAGCAUGGGUCAGAGGAUACUCAACAGUGUUACUGGCAUAAUAGCAGCACCGCUUCUCCUGGCCUGAGAGCCUGUAAGCUUUCUAGAGCCAAUACAGGCAAAGCAACAAGGGAAACCAAACGAGCACAGAACACACUCAAAAUGCCAAUGCAGACACUCGCAGACAAACUCAGAAACUUCAGUCAGGAGGUUAUAGCCACAGCUUCUGGGCUAGUUUUCAACCCCUUUUCCUAAACCAUAUUCAAUUGUCUCCAAUUUUAUUCUCAGCAUUUUUAUUCUGGGGAAAAAAUGCACCUUUUGGCAUUUACUGCAGGGCUGAUCUACAAGGCGGAUCGCUAUCUGGCAUACCACUACACUAUCAGAAACAAUGCACGUAUAGCGAGAUUACUUUAUGAACUUCUCAAUGACAAUUUCUCUUUAGGCAGAAGACAUUACCCUGGGGAUAAAUAAUGUGGUCAUUGUUCUUUAUUGAUUUUUAUGAUCGAUAAUACAACAUAUUUCACCGUGACUAUUUGUAGGAAGAAUCUGGUUGACUUAAUAGGCUUCUGACAAAGAAACAUAACUGAAAACAUGCAAUUCCUCUUACCAUCAGUAACAUUUCUAAUUAGCACCUAUUUCAGAGACAUGGACUUCAAGCAGCCCAAAAUAAGGGUGAGCAAUGAAAAUACACCCAGAAAAUUUUUUGAUGGGCUUUUUAAAAUCCCACCUAUAUUAAGCUAACAUCAGCAAUAAAAACACGUUUCUCUCCUCCCUCUUCCCUCUG
rnacentral:lncRNA from 1 species